rnacentral:rRNA from 1 species
GGUUAAGUCCCGCAACGAGCGCAACCCCUGUCUCUAGUUACCAUCAUUAAGUUGGGGACUCUAGAGAUACUGCCAAGGUUAACUUGGAGGAAGGUAGGGAUGACGUCAAGUCCUCAUGGCCUUUAUGUCCAGGGCUACACACGUGCUACAAUGGACGGUACAGAGGGUAGCGAUAUCGCGAGAUGGAGCCAAUCCCAAAAAGCCGUUCCCAGUUCGGAUUGGAGUCUGCAACUCGACUCCAUGAAGUUGGAAUCGCUAGUAAUCGCGGAUCAGCAUGCCGCGGUGAAUACGUUCCCGGGCCUU